rnacentral:rRNA from 1 species
AUUGAACGCUGGCGGCAGGCCUAACACAUGCAAGUCGAACGAGUGGCGGACGGGUGAGUAAUGUCUGGGAAACUGCCUGAUGGAGGGGGAUAACUACUGGAAACGGUAGCUAAUACCGCAUACCAUCGGAUGUGCCCAGAUGGGAUUAGCUAGUAGGUGGGGUAAAGGCUCACCUGGGCGACGAUCCCUAGCUGGUCUGCGAGGAUGACGAGCCACACUGGAACGGAGACACGGUCCAGACUCCUACGGGAGGCAGGAUGGGGGAAGAGUGCACAAUGGGCGCAAGCCUGAUGCAUCAAUGCCGCGUGUAUGAAGAAGGCCUUCGGGUUGUAAAGUACUUUCAGCGGGGAGGCGUUACCCGCAGAAGAAGCACCGGCUAACUCCGUGCCAGCAGCCGCGGUAAUUC